GUUCUUGUUUUGGCAGCACAUGUACGAAAAUUGGAAUGACACAGAGAUUAGCAUGGCCCUGGUGCAAGGAUGACAUGGAAAUUCAUGAAGCAUUCUCUGUUGUU
ensembl:snRNA RNU6-442P RNA, U6 small nuclear 442, pseudogene